UGCGUCUUAAGCAUGCAAGUCAAACGGGAUGUAGCAAUACAUCUAGUGGCGAACGGGUGAGUAACGCGUGGAUGAUCUACCUACGAGAUGGGGAUAACUAUUAGAAAUAGUAGCUAAUACCGAAUAAAGUCAAUUAAUUUGUUAAUUGAUGAAAGGAAGCCUUUAAAGCUUCGCUUGUAGAUGAGUCUGCGUCUUAUUAGCUAGUUGGUAGGGUAAAUGCCUACCAAGGCGAUGAUAAGUAACCGGCCUGAGAGGGUGAACGGUCACACUGGAACUGAGAUACGGUCCAGACUCCUACGGGAGGCAGCAGCUAAGAAUCUUCCGCAAUGGGCGAAAGCCUGACGGAGCGACACUGCGUGAAUGAAGAAGGUCGAAAGAUUGUAAAAUUCUUUUAUAAAUGAGGAAUAAGCUUUGUAGGAAAUGACAAAG
rnacentral:rRNA from 1 species